rfam:Haemonchus contortus, ISE/inbred ISE, WGS project CAVP01000000 data, contig: Hcontortus_40946
GGCACAAACUUGAAGUAGAAUACUUGGGUAUGGUGAGCUGAUCCUACUAAUCUACUCUACUUCAAGUUUGUGCUC